rnacentral:rRNA from 1 species
GGGCCCGCACAAGCGGUGGAGCAUGUGGUUUAAUUCGAUGCAACGCGAAGAACCUUACCUGGCCUUGACAUAGUAGAAACUUUCCAGAGAUGGAUUGGUGCCUUCGGGAAUCUACAUACAGGUGCUGCAUGGCUGUCGUCAGCUCGUGUCGUGAGAUGUUGGGUUAAGUCCCGCAACGAGCGCAACCCUUUUCCUUACUUGCCAGCAUUUCGGAUGGGAACUUUAAGGAUACUGCCAGUGACAAACUGGAGGAAGGCGGGGACGACGUCAAGUCAUCAUGGCCCUUACGGCCAGGGCUACACACGUGCUACAAUGGUCGGUACAAAGGGUUGCUACACAGCGAUGUGAUGCUAAUCUCAAAAAGCCGAUCGUAGUCCGGAUCGCAGUCUGCAACUCGACUGCGUGAAGUCGGAAUCGCUAGUAAUCGCGGAUCAGAAUGCCGCGGUGAAUACGUUCCCGGGCCUU